CGUGUAGGCGGUUUGUUAAGUCUGAUGUGAAAGCCCUGGGCUCAACCCAGGAAGUGCAUUGGAAACUGGCAGACUUGAAUACGGGAGAGGGUAGUGGAAUUCCUGGUGUAGGAGUGAAAUCCGUAGAUAUCAGGAGGAACACCGGUGGCGAAGGCGGCUGCCUGGACCGAUAUUGACGCUGAGACGCGAAAGCGUGGGUAGCAAACA
rnacentral:rRNA from 1 species